GAAAUGCGAUAAGUAGUGUGAAUUGCAGAAUUCAGUGAAUCAUCGAAUCUUUGAACGCACAUUGCGCCCCUUGGUAUUCCAUGGGGCAUGCCUGUUCGAGCGUCAUCUACACCCUCAAGCUCUGCUUGGUGUUGGGCGUCUUUGUCCCGCCUCCGCGCGCGGACUCGCCCCAAAUUCAUUGGCAGCGGUCCUUGCCUCCUCUCGCGCAGCACAUUGCUCUUCUCGAGGUGUUGCGGCCCGCGUCCAGAAAGCAAUCGUUACCGUCUUUGACCUCGGAUCAGGUAGGGAUACCCGCUGAACUUAAGC
rnacentral:misc_RNA from 1 species